rnacentral:rRNA from 1 species
AGUGAACGCUGGCGGUAGGCCUAACACAUGCAAGUCGAACGGCAGCACAGGAGAGCUUGCUCUCUGGGUGGCGAGUGGCGGACGGGUGAGGAAUACAUCGGAAUCUACUUUUUCGUGGGGGAUAACGUAGGGAAACUUACGCUAAUACGCCUAACACCCUCCGGGUAAAGGCGGGGAUCCUUGGACCUUGGCGCGAUUGAUGGAGCGGAUGUCGGAUUAGCUAGUUGGCGGGGUAAAGGCCCACCAAGGCGACGAUCCGUAGCUGGUCUGAGAGGAUGAUCAGCCACACUGGAACUGAGACACGGUCCAGACUCCUACGGGAGGCAGCAGUGGGGAAUAUUGGACAAUGGGCGCAAGCCUGAUCCAGCCAUACCGCGUGGGUGAAGAAGGCCUUCGGGUUGUAAAGCCCCUUUGUUGGGAAAGAAAUCCAGCUGGUUAAUACCCGGUUGGGAUGACGGUACCCAAAGAAUAAGCACCGGCUAACUUCGUGCCAGCCGCCGCAGUAA